rnacentral:rRNA from 1 species
UACGAAGGGGGCUAGCGUUGUCCGGAAUCAUUGGGCGUAAAGAGCGUGUAGGCGGCCUUAUAAGUCGGCUGUGAAAGUCAAGGGCUCAACCCUUGAAUGCCGGCCGAUACUGUGAGGCUAGAGUCCGGAAGAGGCGAGUGGAAUUCCUGGUGUAGCGGUGAAAUGCGCAGAUAUCAGGAGGAACACCGAUGGCGAAGGCAGCUCGCUGGGACGGUACUGACGCUGAGACGCGAAAGCGUGGGGAGCGAACAGG